UGAGCAUCCUCCUCCAGGCUCGUGAACUAGCGGGCGAACCGGAAACUGUAAAGCACAAACCGUUUGUCAGAGAAGAUGAGGAUACACUCAGGGGGUGAGGUUAGCUGAGGAGAGACAGUGGAGGAGAAAAGAUGUGAAACAAACUGGUGGGAAGACAGUCAUUUGGAGGACGGUAACUUUGAUCAACAAGGUGGUGAAAUGAGUUCUUCAGAAAAGCUGAAAGAGGCAGACACAGACAUUAGCAGACCUCAUCAGUGUCAGACGUGUGGGAAAUCUUACAGUCGGAUCUGUAGUCUCAAAAGACAUGAACUCACUCACACUGCAGAGAAACUGUACCACUGUGAACAAUGCAACAGCAGCUUCAGUGAGCUAAAGACAUACAAGCUCCACCUGCAGACCCACACUGAGGAAACACCAUACUGCUGCAGCCUGUGUGGGAGACAUUUCAGCGACCAGAGCUCAUACAGAAAACACUUGAGCAACCACACUGGACCAUACCAGUGUGACCGAUGUGAAAAGACCUUCAGUCAGUGGGGUAAUUUCACAGUACACCUGCGUGUCCACACUGGAGAGAAACCACACCACUGUGACUUAUGUGGGAAAAGCUUCCGUUGUUUAAGUACAUACAGGAACCAUGU